UACGUAGGGGGCAAGCGUUGUCCGGAAUCAUUGGGCGUAAAGCGCGUGUAGGCGGUUCAGUAAGUCUGCUGUGAAAGUCCAGGGCUCAACCCUGGGAUGCCGGUGGAUACUGCUGGGCUAGAGUACGGAAGAGGCGAGUGGAAUUCCCGGUGUAGCGGUGAAAUGCGCAGAUAUCAGGAGGAACACCGGUGGCGAAGGCGGUUCUCUGGGCAUUACCUGACGCUGAGACGCGAAAGCGUGGGGAGCGAACAGG
rnacentral:rRNA from 1 species